rnacentral:lncRNA from 1 species
CUUUGAGUACAUCUCAUCUGCAUCAUUAUUAAAAAAUUAAUGACAUGAGCUACUUAGAAAAAUACUGUUCUUGAUAUGGCAAAGCACUGAAUCAAACAAUUCAUUUGCCCAUGACUUUAGAUUUCUGACAAUUUACUCACAAGGACAAGAAAAGUGCAGAUGCUUUAGAACAUGCCAACACAAAAAUGUAAAUAUGUAAAAGAAGUGGGCAUGAGGGAACAGAGAUGAUGGUAUUUACAAGGAGAUUAUGAAGCUGAAAAAUUCUCCCUCUGAUGGCCAGUUAUGAGAUAACCAAUCUUCAGACAUUGAAAGAGAGGCCUCUGGUAUGCCUUUUGUUGGGAAGAUUUGCCCUGAAGUAAGAAGGCAGUGAGAGUAAAAGUUGGGAACACAACUUGCCGUAGAGCUUAAUCCAAUUUUUGAAAUCAUUCAUCUAUCUAUUUUCAACUGCAAUCAUAAACAAUACAACCACUAUAUUGGCAUUACCAGAUGGUACAACAGAGUAUAGCUAGCAGCAACGGAAAAUCUGAAGCUCUUUACCCUUUGCAUCCAUGGCUGACCCAUCUUAUCAGUCAUAACUACCAUUGAAAUUCACAUGUACAAACAAUGCAGUGGUUGUACAAGUGCACAAUCCAGAUGCCAUUCUUUGUGAAGGGAAUUGGAAUAGGCAGUAGUACCUUUAUUGUCAACGUAGUGGUCAUGGUCGCGACGCAGUCACAGGGCAAAGGUGGAGGCCAUGACGACCCUCGUUGGAUAGGACCUAGCUGGCUCCAGCUUGCCACCGUCAAGGCCCACCACAACAGCGAGCUCUCCUUUGUGCUGCACACAGAAAAGGGGUGGAUCCGGAUCGAACACACACACACACACACAGAGAAAGGGAAGGAUCAGGAGGCACUCCUGUGCGUAAGGGAGGGAUGGGACUCGAGGGAGUUGACCGACCAAUGGAGAGUGGAUGCAG